rnacentral:pre_miRNA from 1 species
AGUGGGAUAGCUGGGUCAAAUGGUGGUUCCAUUCCAAGAUCUCUAAGAAAUCUCCAUACUGCUUUCCAAAAUGGUUGCACCAAUUUGCAGCCCCACUAACAAU